AAUCAUUUUAAAACACUUUUUAUUAAGAAAAAAAGUAUUUAAACAUGUAGAAAAGUAGGGAGCAUAGUAAAAUAACCUAUAUACAUACCACUCCCACUUAACAAUUAUUACUAUUUCCUAGGAUUGAUCACAUUUAUUCUCUUUGCUAAGGUAGUUUAAAUGGCAGACAAUGAUGCUUCACUCCUAAAACCAUCAGGGUAAAUCUCUAAUGAGGACAUUUUUUUUCUUUUUUUUUUUUUUUGUCUUUUUGCGAUUUCUUGGGCCGCUCCCGCGGCACAUGGAGCUGCUGUAUUUGACAUUGCCUAUCACAACCCUGGGCAUAUAAUUGAUGCUCAAUAGAUGUGACUAAUUAUUAAUUUAUUCAUUAGAGAGGAAGGCAGGCUAUUCUGGCUUGUUCCUUGAUUUUGCCAUAAAUUAGAACAAUGUGAUUUGUCAGAGACGGAAUAAAUCAUAAUUAGGAAAGCUAAAAGGAGGCACAGAAAGGAGGAGAGCAGGAAAAGAGAGAAUAUAGGAAGCAUAUCCAUAUUCACGAGAGCAAUGGAGACAAUGACGAUUCUUGGAGGAACAAGGAAGUAUGGGCUAUUGAAAACUAUGCUCAUUUCUUAGUUAUAGUUACAGAAUUUCAGAACUGGAAAAGAGAACCUGGAGUUCACAGACCCACCCCUUCGUGGCCCAGGUGAAGCAGCUAAGGCCCCAGAUAGAGAUGCGGGGAUAAAAUUGGUUUCUAAGGACAGGCACUGCCUGUUACAUCUUCCAUAAAAUCAGCCAACUCAUCUCCAUGGAAACCUCUGAAGAUUGUGAAAGUACAGAUGUGGGAAGAGAGCAGCCCUCUGAGUGUGAUUUAUUUCCUUUCUAUUUCUUAUUUUCCUCUCUCAUUCCUAUUCAUAAGCUUCUCCUGCCUCUUCUUGUUCUCCCCCCCUCUCCUAUCCUUUCCAUCCAUGAUUCUCACCCAUUACAACCGGGUUCAAUUCAAGAAUCAGAGGUCACUGGAUCUGCAAAGUCCAGAAUGUCCCGCAUUACCAGUCUCCUUAGUCAUGUGCUAGCUUCUAGGGGCCAACUCACAAUUGGCUCUGACUGGGCACCAGAGACCUUACUACCAACUCACUACCUCAUUAGGUUCCUCAAAAAUACUUACGGCCCUUGAAUAGCCAGAUAUCAUGGAAACACAACCCAAAGCUGUCUUACUCCUUUGGGUCUUUAACGACUUUCUGAAUUUCUUGCAAGAGGUUGCUAUGAAAAUUGUUGCUCUACUUGUGCAGGCAGAGUGCAAAGUGCCCAAAUAGCAUGGGGAGAGAGAAACCUCUGCACAAAUCUCACGUCGGAGGUGGGCUAACACCAUCGCUUAACCUCAGCCCAUAAUUGUUACCAGAAAGCAUUUAAACACAUCCCCAAAGCCCUGGGGUGAGUGGCUCUUACUAGAAACUGAAUACAGGGUGUUUGAGGUCUGGCUUUUUACACGCCAAAAGGGGAAGCUGAGUUUUCUGAAAUAGGCUCAGAACCUGGCGACCGGGUCCCCCCCUCGUAGAAUGGAUUGAAGGACAAGCUGAGCAGAUUCGCGUUUGCUCAGGCUUUUCCCUGGAGCUCUGCUGAAUUCCAUUAGUCCGCCUGUCAGGAAGAAUCUGGAAUCACCUAAGGAAAGCCCAGAACAGCGUCUACCACUGGAUAUUUGCUUAGAGCAGACGCUCUAAGGACUGAUGCGGAGGAAGGUCCACGCGGGUGCUGUCCCAGAGCCUUUCCAGGAGGGAGCACUGGCGAGCCUGACCGUUUGCAGGCGGAGCGUCGGCGCACGGGAAAAGCUGCACAAAGGAAAAGGCCCACACGGUGGACACACCCGUACGCACACUUGUGCACAGCAGGGUCCAAGCACAGCCUGCGCUUCCCGCUCCGAGUACGGAUGUGUACAGGAGACGUUGAUAACUGAAUGCGACCCCCCCACAAAAGGGGGUAACAAACUCCAGCCGCUUCCAUUCCUCCAUAACAACACUUCGCCACCUCCAGCCCCGCCAGGAGUCGGGACCGGACCGGCAGCAGGGCCUCACCCAGCCCUCCUUCCCGAGCACUCACAGCUGGCCCCCUUCAUGCCUCGGCUUCUCGACGGAUAUCUGGCGGGGGGAGGAGGGGCGAUCCAGGAAGGCGAGCUUCUGGCAUUCAGAACCCGGGUGCUGCUGGCUGGCGCGGCGAAGUCGCUAUCUUAUGUCCCCGACAGCUAGAGGACAGAUCGUGAAUCGCCCGGGUU
rnacentral:lncRNA from 1 species